rnacentral:rRNA from 1 species
UACGAAGGGGGGCUAGCGUUGUUCGGAAUCACUGGGCGUAAAGCGCACGUAGGCGGAUCUUUUAAGUCAGGGGGUGAAAUCCCGAGGCUCAACCUCGGAACUGCCUUUGAUACUGGGGAUCUCGAGUCCGGGAGAGGUGAGUGGAACUGCGAGUGUAGAGGUGAAAUUCGUAGAUAUUCGCAAGAACACCAGUGGCGAAGGCGGCUCACUGGCCCGGAACUGACGCUGAGGUGCGAAAGCGUGGGGAGCAAACAGG